AUGACCUCGGGCCUUGUAGGAACUGCAAUCGCUCUUAAAAGAAGUGUAACAUUUGUAUUAAUAUUUAAUUGGUCCAAUUUGGAGGAACUUGAAACUGCAAUUAGAGGGCAGUGCCCAUCUGCUUCCCGCAGGCGCGUGGCUCUUACCAGAUCCCUGGGAGGCUGCAGGGGCCGCCCGUCACCUUCACGUGUGUUCCUUAACAACGUGCGCACAGUCUCUCAAGGGGGAGCUCCAGAUGGUGAAGGAAACUCUCCAGGCCAUGGCCCUGCAGCUCCAGCCAGCAAAGGAGGCGGGGGAGAGGGAGGCUGCAGCUUCAUGUGUGACAGCUGGCGUCCAGGAAGCACAGGCCUGAGGCCUGACAGGACGGAGGAAGGAUUAGUGAUGCUCCUGUCUUCAUUCGGAUCCAUGGACAGUAGACAAUCUUUGUCAUUUCCUGAAGUCACACUGCCAUUUCCAAAGGCAGCUGGUGCCUUGCUCAGCCUUCUCCCGUGCAGUGCUUCCGUCAGGAGAUGGCCCUGCUUAAGCCAGCAGGUGGCCACGGUCCAGGGAACAAGCCAAAGCACAGCAUAUGAAUUUCCUGAUUGUCUUUUCUACAAUUUUCUGGUGGCCUCAUAUGAAAAUACAUCUCCACACAAUGAGACAUUCCCUUCGUACUUCAUCAAAUUCUGUAGUUAUGAAUUAACAACAUACAAGAUGAUCAAGUCAGCAGCCAGGGCUGCUGGGGUCUGGGUCUGGACUUCUGUAGACCCUGCAACCUUGACAGCUCCACCUACAUCAUUAGGUAAUAACACCUGACACUGGAUGUUAUUUCAUCUUCAAAAGAAUUUCUCCCUAGGGGCAAAAACUUUGUCCUUCUCAUUCAAGGUUGAAUCUCCAGAACCUAAAACAGUGCCUUGACAUAAAGACAAUCAAUCAGUGCUUGUAGAAUAAAGAAUGACUGUAAAUAAUACCUUCAAUUUACUGUUGGCUGUGUCUCAUCCAAACAUGAGCUUACUCAGAAAUUUGUGAAUUAGAAAUUAUAACCCACAAAUUAUUUUCAAAUACAGUGUAUUUAUGAGUAAUA
rnacentral:lncRNA from 1 species